GCCCACGUAGUGCAAUGGUUAGCAGACCUUACUUGUUAGCUCUGCAGUAAAUGCAUUUGGAGGUAGAUUGGGGUCAAUUCCCCACGAGGGCG
rnacentral:tRNA from 1 species